AACGAACGCUGGCGGCAUGCCUAACACAUGCAAGUCGAACGAAGGCUUCGGCCUUAGUGGCGCACGGGUGCGUAACGCGUGGGAAUCUGCCCUUAGGUUCGGAAUAACAGCUGGAAACGGCUGCUAAUACCGGAUGAUGACGAAAGUCCAAAGAUUUAUCGCCUGAGGAUGAGCCCGCGUUGGAUUAGGUAGUUGGUGGGGUAAAGGCCUACCAAGCCGACGAUCCAUAGCUGGUCUGAGAGGAUGAUCAGCCACACUGGGACUGAGACACGGCCCAGACUCCUACGGGAGGCAGCAGUGGGGAAUAUUGGACAAUGGGCGAAAGCCUGAUCCAGCAAUGCCGCGUGAGUGAUGAAGGCCCUAGGGUUGUAAAGCUCUUUUACCCGGGAAGAUAAUGACUGUACCGGGAGAAUAAGCCCCGGCUAACUCCGUGCCAGCAGCCGCGGUAAUACGGAGGGGGCUAGCGUUGUUCGGAAUUACUGGGCGUAAAGCGCACGUAGGCGGCUUUGUAAGUCAGAGGUGAAAGCCUGGAGCUCAACUCCAGAACUGCCUUUGAGACUGCAUCGCUUGAAUCCAGGAGAGGUCAGUGGAAUUCCGAGUGUAGAGGUGAAAUUCGUAGAUAUUCGGAAGAACACCAGUGGCGAAGGCGGCUGACUGGACUGGUAUUGACGCUGAGGUGCGAAAG
rnacentral:rRNA from 1 species